rnacentral:tRNA from 1 species
GUUUUUAUAGUUUACUAAAGAAUACUAGAUUGUGAUUCUAGAGGAGUUAUAUUGCUAAAAACA